GACGAACGCUGGCGGCGUGCUUAACACAUGCAAGUCGAACGGAAAGGCCCUGCUUUUGUGGGGUGCUCGAGUGGCGAACGGGUGAGUAACACGUGAGUAACCUGCCCUUGACUUUGGGAUAACUUCAGGAAACUGGGGCUAAUACCGGAUAGGAGCUCCUGCUGCAUGGUGGGGGUUGGAAAGUUUCGGCGGUUGGGGAUGGACUCGCGGCUUAUCAGCUUGUUGGUGGGGUAGUGGCUUACCAAGGCUUUGACGGGUAGCCGGCCUGAGAGGGUGGCCGGCCACAUUGGGACUGAGAUACGGCCCAGACUCCUACGCGAGGCAGCAGUGGGGAAUAUUGCACAAUGGGCGGAAGCCUGAUGCAGCAACGCCGCGUGCGGGAUGACGGCCUUCGGGUUGUAAACCGCUUUCGCCUGUGACGAAGCGUGAGUGACGGUAAUGGGUAAAGAAGCACCGGCUAACUACGUG
rnacentral:rRNA from 1 species